UACGUAGGGUGCAAGCGUUAAUCGGAAUCACUGGGCGUAAAGGGUGCGUAGGCGGGUCUUUAAGUCAGGGGUGAAAUCCUGGAGCUCAACUCCAGAACUGCCUUUGAUACUGAGGAUCUUGAGUUCGGGAGAGGUGAGUGGAACUGCGAGUGUAGAGGUGAAAUUCGUAAAUAUUCGCAAGAACACCAGUGGCGAAGGCGGCUCACUGGCCCGAUACUGACGCUGAGGCA
rnacentral:rRNA from 1 species